AUUGAACGCUGGCGGCAGGCCUAACACAUGCAAGUCGAGCGAGCGGCGGACGGGUGAGUAAUGUAUGGGGACUGCCCGAUAGAGGGGGAUAACUACUGGAAACGGUGGCUAAUACCGCAUACUAUCGGAUAACCCAUAUGGGAUUAGCUAGUAGGUGGGGUAACGGCUCACCUAGGCGACGAUCUCUAGCUGGUCUGAGAGGAUGAUCGGCCAAACGGGGACGGAAACACGGCCCAGACUCCUACGGAGGGAGAAGUGGGGAAUAUUGAACAAUGGGCGAAAGCCUGUGGCAGCCAUGCCGCGGGGAUGAAGAAGGCCUGAGGGUUGUAAAGUACUUUCAGCGGGGAGGCUUUACCCGAAGAAGAAGCACCGGCUAACUCCGUGCCAGCAGCCGCGGUAAUAC
rnacentral:rRNA from 1 species